rnacentral:rRNA from 1 species
GACGAACGCUGGCGGCGUGCCUAAUACAUGCAAGUCGAGCGGACUUUUGGGAGCUUUCUCCCAAAAGUUAGCGGCGGUCGGGUGAGUAACACGUGGGCAACCUGCCUAUAAGACUGGGAUAACUUCGGGAAACCGGAGCUAAUACCGGAUAAUUCCUUUCCUCUCAUGAGGGAAGGCUGAAAGACGGUUUCGGCUGUCACUUAUAGAUGGGCCCGCGGCGCAUUAGCUAGUUGGUGAGGUAACGGCUCACCACGGCGACGAUGCGUAGCCGACCUGAGAGGGUGAGCGGCCACAGUGUGACUGAGACACGGCACAGACUCCUACGUGAGGCAUCAGUAGGGAAUCUUCCGCAAUGGACGGAAGUCUGACGGAGCAACGCCGCAUGAGUGAUGAAGGUUUUCGGAUCGUAAAACUCUGUUGUUAGGGAAGAACAAGUACGAGAGUAACUGCUCGUACCUUGACGGUACCUAACCAGAAAGCCACGGCUAACUACGUGCCAGCCGCCGCUGUAA